UCCCUGGUAGCUCAGAGGUUAAAGCGUCUGCCUGCAAUGCGGGAUACCUGGGUUCGAACCCUGGGUUGAGAA
rnacentral:tRNA from 1 species